ACCUCAGAUCAUUUCACCACAUUUCAGUAGGACAUGGACACUUGUCGGACUCUGACUCCUAUCAGGGUUCUGCUUAUAGCAUAUUUAACAUAAAUAAGAGUUGCUUUGAUGAAUCCAAAGAUGGAAAUAGUCCUGCAACAUAACUCUAGCAGCUGUUUCCCAGUUGUCCCUGUGAAGGAGGAGGAGACCAACCUUUAUUCUUUGACCCCUCCCCUCCCAACAUCUGGUAAUUAGAAGUAUUAAUUACCAGGUAUUAGAGGUGCAGCUAUUAAGCAAAACAGAAAAAAGCAAAUGAUAGGCCCAUACAUCCAUUAAUUUCUCCACUCCUUUGUGAAGUUGAGUCAAGGAACGUAGGCACAUACUGGAACCUGUUGAGCAUUGUGCUGUGCUCUGUGUUAAAUAUACAACCUUCAGGUAGAUCAUGAAACAACUUAAAAGUGGUGGAAGUGAUCACUCCUCUUUGCGUUGGAUCAUGUUCAUUGCACGCGGAAGCUCCAUGCUUCAAUUAUGUGUAUAUUAUUUAUUUAUUAAAUCUAUAGACCACCCACUAUCCGAGGAUCACAGGGCGGUUUACAGUAUAAAACCGCAAAAAUACACAGCAUAAUAAUGAACAACAAUGAAAAAAGUAACACAAGGAUCAGGUAGCGUGUGAUGUGAAAGACAGAGACCCUGGAGAAUUGUUGCAGGUCAAAGUAGACAUGAGUGGGCUGGAUGGAACUUCUCUGAAGGAUUUUUGAUCCAGCAGAGGUGUCCAAAGCUGAGAACACCAAUGAAGGAAAUUUAGGGUGAUUCUACUUCCUCUGCAGUUCUCUAUCUGUUCCCAAAGGUACCCCAACACUGGGGCAGAUUUGGGGUGGUAUAGAGGGCUAUAGAGAGGAUUGGGGAAUGGCUUUCUCCCUUCUGCUGAUGGAAGCAUCUUCCAUCACACAGUUGCAUACAACCUACUGAAUGUUUUACACUGGAAAGAGAAAAUGUCAUUAGUGCCACUAAAGAUUCUUGAUUCAAAUUACAUAUUAGUAAUUAUGGAAAAUGUUCUGUGUUUCUGCUCAAUUCUGUUUUGUUAUUUCUUACCAUGUUAUUAUGGACUAUUCCUAUAGAGACAAAUUAAUUUGGCUGCAAUCCUACAUACUUUGACUUGGGAAUAAGGCCUGUUGAACUCAGUAGGACUUAUUUCCAAGUAUGCAUACUCUGUAAUUCUUUGGGUUUGCCUAGUACCCAUUAAUGUUUUAUUACCUUUUGCAAAUUAGACCCCGCCUCCCUAAGCAUCUAAAGGGCAGUGCUGGGGAGGGGGGAGAAUCAGCGAAGGUAAAUCACAACUAGAGAUACUUUCUGGAAGUUCUUAUCUCAGGUACUUCUUUACUUCUGCAGUUGCUUCCUUAGAAACAAGUGUGCUACUGCUUUUGGAAACUUCCACCUCAGUAGUUUAAUUGGCCUAACCCACGAAAAGAUUGGUUUGCAAUGCGUAGGAUGAUGGCAAGCAGACAGUGGAUGAUAAUGACUGCUUUGUUUUUUGCAGAACCCAUUUUACCACCACAGCACCACCUCGUUACUGUCUUGUCAUGCAUUUCCGGAAUCCACUUAGUAUGAAAUGAGUAACACAAUGUUAGUUGCUUAGCUGGAAGUUUUUCUCCAUAUUUCAUCCUUUUUUGCCCUUGGGCCCCAGUUAUUUGUGUUCAGAAUGGUUCCCUUUCCUCUUGGGAAACACAAGAAGUGGCUUUAAACCAAAUCAGAUUGUUGAUGCAUUUAGCUCAGUAUUGUUGACAUUGAGUGGAAGCAGCUCUCCACAGUUUCAGUCAGGAGUCCUUGGUAGGCCUACCUAGAGAUGCCACUGAUUGAACCUGAAUAUUUUGCAUGUAACACGUGUGCUCUACUACUGACCUAUGACCUUUCUCCUACACAUCCUAUCCAGAAUUCCAGUGGCAAAUUCCAGCUCACAGUCCCAUUCUUGACAUCUCAAGACGUUCAUGAUUCUGCACACAGUUCUUUCAGGUUUCCUUUCCCUCCCUGGCCAUAUCUUACUGAAGGGUGUUUCACUUUUGAUUCUAAAUUGGGGAAAGAGCUAUUUUGACAGUUGACAGGCUGUGCAAUGUCGAUAAACAGAGCAAAAGAUAAUGCAUCAUAAAUAGUAUGUAAAAUAAAGGUGCCACAUAGGACAGCUAUGCCACUGCUGAAGAAUUAAUUAAAAACUAUGCCCUCAAAUUGUACAUAAAGCAUCUAAAUUUUCUCAGAAGCUAACAUCUUGCAGAGUAUCUAAUUAUUCUUUUAUAGUCCUAGAGCAUGUAUAAAGUCCAACUUCAUUCUGAGAGCUUUCUUUCCCAAAAGAACAUUCCAACCCAUUUCCUCUCAUCUUCAUAAGCCAAAGAUGCCACAAAAAGGCGAGACUCAUAAUGUUUUCAUAGGAAUCUGUAGCAGCUCAGAAAACAAGGAUGACAUUUCAUCAAACACGAACAUUUAUAUAUAAUGUGAAACACACAGUGUGUUUGUGUUUGUGUUGGGGUGCGGAAUCAAAAUAAUGCUGCAAUUCUGUUACAAACCCAUAAAAUGCCAAGAAAUUCAGAGGAAAGGCCUCUAAAGUUCAUCUUGAUCUUGUGCAUAUAUCUUGUAUAUUGUCCCAUACAACAAUAUAAUUGCAAUAUUUGCAAGGUUUACAUUGUCAUUUUAUAGUCAGGCAUGAAGGAGGGAAAGCAAUACACUUUCUCAUAGGAGGCAAACCUUUCAAUAGCAAUUUCCCCCCCUUCAAUUUCAUAGAUAUUUUGUUUAAUAAAACCUUUACAAUAUUCUGCAUAAGUAGGUUGAGAAAUAAGAGUACCAACUCAUCUGGACUUGUAUUGAACAAGAAAUGUGGAUCUUCUAAUCUGGCAUAUUGACAGCUGAGAUUGUCACCUGAAGACCCUCAUGAAUAUUGUCCUCUGUGUUAAAAGUUUAGUCUGAAAUACAAAGGCUGGUCUUGGAUUAAGCCACAGUGCAAAUCCAGCCAUAUAAACUCACUCCCAAUAAAACACGCAUAGGACUCUAUUGUAAGAAUAGUAGAUUUCUGCUCUACUCUACAUAUCUGCAGACAUCUAAAGCCACUCCAUCAGCAGGUGCUAUGUUUAAGUAUGUUGACCUCUGUGGUACUACAAUCUUAAAAAGAAAACACAGCACUGCAAAGAUAAAUGGAAGAGCAAAACUCUGUCAUUGAUCUGAUUGAUGAGUCUUGCAGCAUGAUCGUAACAGCUUCUUCAGAGACUUUUACAAUCUUUAUGAAAGAGCAAGAGGCGCUGCCAAUAUCUGCAGAUCAUUGUCAUGAUAGACCGUAACGGCUUCUUCAGAGCUGUUACGGUCUAUCGUGUCAAUGCGUACUUAGGGAGUCCUCAAUGCAUGGAUCAUUGACACGAUACUACAUAACGGCUCCUUAGAAGCCAUUACUGGGUAUCAAGUCAAUGCAUACUUAGGGAGUCUUUAAUGCACAGACCUACGUAAGUUGACUCACUCUGAAUUCUAACAAUCCUUAUGAAAAAUAGUUAACUGCAAAUUGUGUUCAGAGAGUAUAUCAAUACCCAACUGCAAAAAUAAUGCACCCUAAGUCCUAAAUACGGGGGUGGGGGAGCUGCACUUCACAAAGCAACCUGUUGCCGCAUAAAAAUAGAAGCACAGAACUUUAAAACGUGACACUCCCAUUCUUCCCAGCUGGUAAUUUCAUUUUGGCUUUUAUAAAGUAUAUUUCAAAAAAUUAUUUCAACUUUGAACUGAAGCAAAGUUCCAGCCCAACGCCCGUUAUCUACUUGCAUAUAAAGUGCGGAAAGUAUAUACCACCAGUUGUUCAUACUUAUAAAGCAAUGGUGAUGCAUGUUGUACCACCAUACAUGUAGCUAUACUUCUCUAUGCCCUAUGCGCUAUAUGCUUGCUUCUUCUAAUACAUGUCUAGUAUUGAACCCCAAAUGAUGGGUUUCCAAACCCCAAAGCAUAGAUUUGGUGCAAGCUAUUUUGCACAUUCCAAAUGAGUGUCUUGCAAUCAACUCAGUCUUCAAGUGAGUCAAGUGAGACUUUCCAACACAUUGGCUUCCUUCAUUUGUAAAAUGAAUGCCCAGCCAUUUAUAUUCUUGCUGGAGAGAUUUCACCGCGCUGGUUUGAAAAUGGUUCUGAGUUUGCUGUUGUUGGUAUUUUUUUUCCCUUUUGUGUUCCUCUUGCUGACUGACAUCUGCUAUCACGCUAAGCAGGUGUUCCUGUGUAAACGAACGUGCCAUGUUUGUGUUUCGCUAUCCUCGCUAUUGCGCACCCAAAUGAGCAGCAUGAUUAAGAAUCCUGUAAAUUUUUGAAAGGAAACGGAUGGCUGCCCUACUAGAACAUAAUUACACCGUUCCAACAUCCGCAGCUCACUGCUGCAGCCGAGUUGGAGAACAGCAGAAAUUAAUAAUAUAUAAUCGCAUCGUUCUCGUAAUUUAUAAAUGAAAUAAAGUUGGAGUUGGAGAUUCAGUGGAUGCGUGUGUUUCUCGUGAAUUCUAAAAGAGCAAGCAUAACAUUGGCGUUUUACUGGGGUGAAUUCUGGCCAGCAAUACCACAGCAGUUGCUACUGCCACAAGACCUGACUCACAUUUGGGAUUUUGUUUAGGCAACGAGUUAAUAUCCUUUACAAGGCUGGAGAAGGAGGCAGAGCAAGGCGGUGGGGUGAGAGAAUAAGUACACAGAUAUCUCUAUAGGCAGUCUCUGAUAAACAGGUUGGAGGAAAUCUCUAAAGAUCAUACCGUUCAUUUUUGGCUCAGUUCAUUAAAAGGUAUUGCAGUAAGACGUCUAUCCUUGGCUACAUCCUGUAUCUCCUCCACCUCGUCCCAUUUCGACUAAAAUAAAACAUCAUCGCAGGUCAAGUCCUCUGAGGAAAGACAGGAUUAAUCAGUUUAAAAUGCUGUGUAGCAUCACUUCAGCAACCCCCCCCUUCAAGAAACAGCAAUGUUUCUGAAAACAAUAUUUUUGAACUAGAAUGUGUCAAAAGGGGUGUAUUGCAAAUCACUGUUAAAGCCAGCCCUGAGAGCUUGUGUUUUAAUUAUGCCUCGCAACCCGGCUGAAGAAAUGUGGCAACUUUUGUAGCAGGAAAACAUAUUAUUUGUUAGAGCAUAAACUAGUCUGGAGGGGGGGAAAAGCUUGGAUUUUAUUUUAUUUAUCUCUCUCUGCCCCCCCCCCGCCCCAUUUCUCUUAUGCAAGUGCUAGGAGUGCGGCCUAACUAAUUUGCACAGGGACAAAAUGAGUGGGCGAGUUACCAGAAGAACCAUUGUACUAUUCCCCCAGUAUAUUAUAUAGACAAAUUAUAUGAUAUGCAACUGGAUAUAAUUGUAUGUGCAGUUUCAACAGUUUAGCAACAGAGGAUCUCACAACAGUAACAGGUGCAGUCUUUCUUAAUUCUAAUAACAGGAGGGAAAACACAAAGCAGGCUUGUGAUUAGUGAUAAAAAUGGACUUUUAAAACUUGCAUAUUCACACAUGAGCUUGUCACCUAAAGGGCCUCACGGGCAUUUCCUGUGUGUUCAAGUUCAGUCUAAAGAAAACGUAUUCACUUAAGAGAUUUAUUUCAUUAACAGGUAUUUAUGUAAGUUGGGUUCUCUGCAUAUAAAAUCCCUGAGCAAUUUUCUUCCUCAGGUCACUUGCUUCAAGUUGACUAAUUUUAAUAAGGCUUAGGUGCCUAAGGUUGUAUUGAGUGCUUAUUUUGAUCAAUAUGGUUAAAUUAAAAUAGUGCAAAAUAUAAGCAAAUGUACUCUAACAACUCUGUGAAAAAUGAAAGUGCAUUCUCAGCAUUGAUUGGGGUGCUGAAGAUAUAUUAAUUCAUUGUUUUAAAUACGUUGAGGCUAUGCGGGGGAGGGGGGAGAGAAUUGCACUUGACACCAAAUACACCCACACAAUCCAAACACCAAUGCACCAUAUUCUAUGCAGUGACUUCUUCCACUGACAUACAUAAUAAUGUACAGAAUUUCAUUUAAGGGUUAUGGCCCAUUUUAUUUGACAGUCAGCCCAUACAGUAUUUAUAUGAGUUAGUUCUGUUUGGCUACUAGUGUUUCAACUGUGAAGACACCAAUGCCUAACUAAUGAUAGUGCUACACAGUUAGAGAAACAGGCUGCUGUGUUAAGAGCUUGAGUCUGCCUUUCUCCUAUAAACUAAGGACCAAACUGCACAUGGCACAGGGAGACAUGUUGGUCAUUCACCUGCCUGCCCAGUUCACAUAUAAAGAAGGGAGAAGGGGGUGUUACAAUUUUUAGCUUUUCGAGUCCUUUUCAUGUAAAUAAAAAUCAGGUUUUCUGCGUAUGUGGAAAAGACAAAAAAAACUUUAAUCCUGGAAACUUGUUGAAGCCCUCCUAUCACAAAACGGACUUCCCCUAAUACAGUGGUACCUCAGGUUAAGUACUUAAUUCGUUCCGGAAGUCCGUACUUAACCUGAAACUGUUCUUAACCUGAAGCAGCACUUUAGCUAAUGGGGCCUCCUGCUGCUGCCGCGCCACCAGAGCACGAUUUCUGUUCUCAUCCUGAAGCAAAGUUCUUAACCUGAAGCACUAUUUCUGGGUUAGCGGAGUCUGUAACCUGAAGCGUAUGUAACCUGAAGCGUAUGUAACCCGAGGUACCACUGUAUAAGAUUAUGGAUGUCUUAAGGAAGGCAUUUUCAGGAAUACUAAAACUAGUUGCAUGGAUAAAACCACCUGCACUAAAUAGAGAGGUACAUGGGCACAUAUACCCAUCAUACAAUCUUCUUAGACCCUUUCAUAACUGCUGAAGUGGGCUAUGAAGUCACUAUUACAAUAGAUUUGUCUCUUCAGUGAUACAGUGGUACUAGCUAUGGCAGUAGUUCUGCUACAGUUCAAUGGAAGCAUGCAGAACAAACUGCAGAGCAAACAGGUUGGAAAGUACAGACUGCCUCUGAUUUCACAUAGACCUCUGAAGACACCACAAAUACUUGGACAGUAAUUGUGAUUACAAGUGGAUAUUAGACAAUACUUUUAUCUUUUUAAAUAACCAGGCUACUCUUCUCAGGGUUGCCCAAUAAAAGCUGAUCCCAAAUCAAACCGCUGUUGGCAAGCAGAUUUCUGAACCAGGAACGUUGUUUUAUGGAAAAAGUGGACCACAAGGUAGGUUUUUAAAGAAGAGAACAUUUGAAGAGAACAACUAGUCUAAAGGAACCAUUGCUUUCCCCUUAAUUCCCCACCCCAAUAACAACAGUGUUUCAAGUUCUCCUUGGCUUAAACUAGUCUUCAUGCCCAGAUAAAAUUGAUUCUUCCAUAUAUUAAAAAACAUUCUAUCCCAGAUGCCUUUAACCUUAUAAAAUAAUCAUUUUGUUUAUGCAAUGCAUGAGGUCCCUUUCCUUCCCUAAGAAAUCCAGGCCUGUCUAUAUUUUCUUUUUUGUUCCUGCUUAAGAAUGGGGUUGCUGUGCUUUAAUUUCCAGUAUCGGUGCUCACAAGGUAGUUUAGAAAGUGCUUUCUAAAAUGCCCACAAUUGCACCACGGCAAUUGUUUUUUAUUAUAUCAUUUUAAAAGGCUGCUUGUAUCACUUUCAGCUUCGGGGCAUGUUUUCUAACCUUACCUGUUGUGCGAUCUCUCUUCCCACUAUCUCUGAUCUCCUUACUAAGCAAUCUGUAAACUGCACUGUGUUUUCCAAGAUAGCAUCUCUUCCUACAUGACAACAAAAAUAAUUUCUUAUACUCAGAAGCUCAUCUUAUCAAAGGUAAAUCAGCACACACCAAAAAUGAAGACAUGAGGCGGGGGGGGGGAUGGGGAAGAGUAAAAAAUAAAAAAUAAUAAGUGACAGGAAAAACACACCAUUUUAAAAGAAAAGGACGUGGGUUUACAAAGGACUUGGGUUCUUCAGUUUAAACUGAGGAAAUAGGUGUUUAAGUAGCCAAAGCAUUUCACAUACUUACUUAGAAUUAUUAGCAGGUUAAAAAAACAGCACAAACUCCUUAGCUCACCAUGCAACAAAAACAUGCUGCAAGGCUAUGAUCCUAUGUACACUUACAUGGUAGUUCCAUUUAAUUCAGUGGGACUUAAACUCUGAGUAACUGCAAAUCAAAUUGGGCUGCAUAUCUUCUUAGCAAUCAUCUGAAGUAAGUAAGCCUGUUCAAGUUCAGAAGACUUGACUUCUCCAUUUGUAGUCACGCCAAGAGAAAUGCUUAGUUUUUGCUUUGCCGCAUGGCAAUCUUGCCCCCCCCCCACUUCAGUGGUUCAUGUGUUUUUUUGAAGAUUUUAAUAUCAAGGGUAUUGCUCUGUAAACAAGUGUAUGUUUACCGAGGCAGCUUCUCUUACACUCUUCCCUUGUAAUCAGAUGUGAAAAUUACACCCUCCUUUUUGGAUACAUGAUAAUUGCACGUUUCAACAUACAAAGAAUUGUCUCUGUUUCAGUUGGUGGAAUGAAGGGAAGAAAGAAAGGGGAAAGGAGCCCAAGGCAUUCAGCAAUAAAAUAAAAUAAAUUAUUACGUUAAAGAUCGCUGUCAUUGCUCUUUUGGGGAAAAGUGAGGUUCAUAAUCAAAACUAUGAUCAAUGUAGUUUUACAUUAAAAUAUAUAGAUACACGCAGAGAGUGAGAGAGAGAGUGAUGUUUCUGUACGCACAGAAGUGGAAAAAGUCACCCCUACGCCAUUUCAAUCAAGACCGCAUGCUUCAUUGAAACCCCGCCUUAGUUCUGUUCUCAGAGUAAUUUUAACUCUGAAAGUAUUAUUUAUGGGAUAUUUUAACCAACAUUCCCUUAUAUUUGAUCCAUUUGUAUUUUUUUAUUUCCUCUUUGCAGUUGUAUUUUACUUAGUGGUAGGUAGCCAGUCCUCCUUUCCUUCUGCCCCCCCCCCCCAGUGGUUUGUACCAAUGUGUAGGAAAUUCAGAAUCUGAUGCUUUGUUUGAGGUAGGUUGGUGAGAGUGAAAGAAAAUAAUUGUGCGUGCAAGAAUGACACUGACAAAAAGACAAUGUUGCACCUCGAUCGUUUCAUGACAUGCCUUCGAAUUACUUUUAAUUUUAUCAGCACACCUUUUCAAAUAUGUCCCUCCAGCAAAACAAAACAAAAAUCUUUUUUUAAAAAAACCUAAUAAUUUACUGUUUACCUCAAAAUUUGGCAUCAUGUUGACAGAUAAACUUCCAUAUCGAGUUGUGUCAUUUGUUCUGUACCACCAGGAAUUAAGGAAGAAAGUAGCUGUCAAGUUAAACUAUAACCAAGAAAUAAUGACUUAUUUAGCUAGAUCAAGCAACUAUUAGCAACAACAAGUUUGCCGGUUUUGUGGUUCUCUUUCCCCACUGCUUGCAAUCAGGAAGUGCAUUGUGACGGCUAAAUCUGCCAGGAAUAAUAACUCACCAAUAGGUUGACUUUAACUCAGUGGUUAUGUCUCAUCUUCACAUGGGACAUAUUCCCAAGCAAGCAUGUACAGAACUGUAGCAUCUUGAUUGUUCUUUUUGAUUGGUCCCCAAAGCCAGGAAGUAGCUCUUUAAUGCGCAUAAUGCCAACUUUAUGAUGUACACCAACUCACAUGCCCUCUCCUCCGGUCUGCUCAAUGUAAAGCCACUCUCAGGUAUUUCUAGUGGUCAUCAAACAUGGCUUAUAGCUAGAAUUGCACAUGAGACUGCAAGGUCACAUGAUGCUCAUCCAGACAAUAUUUAACUGAACUGCUGCAUUAAAGUCAUCCCAAGAAAACUAUUUAAGAUGACAUCCUAGCCCCCUUCCACCAGAGUUUAGGAUAGAAAGUGAAUAAGAAGAGUGUGGCCCUUUGAGUCAUCAAGGAUGAAAACGCCAGAUAAUUACACCAGUUUGAGCUUUGCUAGGCACACUUACUACUGCAAAAAAGACUAAGGUAUCUAUAGUAACCCAAAAGGCCUUAAUUAUACGGUGCACAGGAAAGGCAGCACCUGCAGCUGCACAGCACCCUUCAAAUGCUAUGUAGCUCCUUCUGGAAUAGGAUUGACUCAGAGGAGAGAGUGCCUCCUACUGAGUCAUUAGCACACCCUCUGUUUCCUUUCCAGAUUUCAGGAAUCUUGUUUUCUUCUGGAGCGGGGUGGGUGGGUGCGAUCAGAAAGGAAAAGGCACAGGAAGAAGACAACAGGCAAAGCGUUGGAGCAACAAUAAACCAAGUAGCAACAUGCGUUGCACUCUCAAAGUUUCAUGGACCCAAUUCCAUUGUGGGUGGACUUGAGGUCCAUCAUUUCUGUUUCUAGAGCAGCCAGAAAAUGCUUUUAGGGAGAACUAAAAACAAAAAUGCACCAUGCGACUCGCCAUAAAUUGCGUCCACGGAGGAGGAGGGCUUGUUCUUUGGCGAGUGCAGAACCUGUGUAUCAGCUGCUACUUGAAACCCCUAACAGCCAACCUUGCGAAAGAUGUAUGUGCAAGGGAAAAGGCUCAGAAGUGAGGAGACUUAUUGGAGGGUUAAAACUGGAAGGGGUUUGUCAGUUUGAUAGGGAAGGGAGCAGAACUGUAAUGGGUGAGAAAGAGCCUGUGAAAAAUGUUGGGAGCUGGUCUCAUUUCUCAACAAGCACAGGUGAGGUAAUCAAACCUGUGCCUGGACAGCAUCAUUUCAGACUACAGGUGUGAGGCUCAUAUCACUAAAAUACUCCAAAAUAGAAAAAAUAUCCCUCCAUACAUAGGAAACUAGAAUGUGAGGGACGAAUGCUAUACUAGAACUUUCCCCCCUCACUUCCAGUUUCCUGUGUUGGUGUUUUGAUUGUAUGGGGAAGUAUUCAAAAAAAAAUAUGCCCCCCACCAGCACCUUGAUCCUGGGAAAAGGUUUACUAUCAUAUUAUCUGCUCUUUGUGAGAACUAAUACUUAAGAAUGGGGUAAUGGGAGGAAUGAAGAAUUGGAAUGAAUAGUGGCCGGCGUUAUGUUGCAGAAAGUUCUGUGUAUUAAAGAUACAAAUGGCCACAGUAAGUAGCUACACCGGGAAGCAUUUGCUCUUCCUCUAUGCUUAGAAGCCAUUUCUACCUUGAAUAACUAUUUCCAUUUCCCUCUUAUAGUCCAGGGAAAUAACUAUUUCCAUUUCCCUCUUAUAGUCCAGUUACAAGAGUUUUUGGUUUUGUAGGCUGUGGUGGCUGCAGUAUUUCUUUUACGCAGAACGCUAUACUAAAAUCCGCUACCUACACUUAGCUCAGCCCUUCUGUUAACAGACUGUAUUCCUCCUUCAUUUCUAACUGCUGUUAAAUGGGGUAAUAAAAUUAAAGAUGGUGCAUUUGUAUCUCGGAGGUAUGUAAAUCGGGAGUAGUGCCAUUUGAUCCAAUGGAUUUGUCCUAGGGCAAGAAGAAUUAGGCCUUAUGUCACCAAGAAUAUGAAAAUUUCCCUAGGCUAGAGCAGGGGAUUGCUGAUUUCAGCACAGAGGUGACUUUUUGAAAUUCCUUCUUCUAUAUUUCAAAAAGACCAGUUAGCCCAUUAUCAGGUUAUAGGAUUACAAAAUUAACAGUGGGCAGCUGGCUUCAGAAGCCCCUCUUAGCCACAGUUCUCAACCCAAAACUGAAAAUGUCAACAAAUGUGAAUUUGUGACAUUUUGAUAUUGGCUGCUCCACCAAUAUGGAAGAUAUUUUAACAGAUCACAAUCCACUGUAAAUCUUUGUGCAGUCCCCAUUGAUAUGAAUGGGAGCCAUGCAAAAACACUGUAGUAUUCUUGCAUCAUUUCAAUGGUGCUUACGCAGGAGAAAUCUCCAGUGAGUUGCAUUUAGAAUGGAUUCUGCUGAAAAUUUUAAGAUCUUGUUGUUCAUUUGGAGAUAAUGCCAGAACUUCCCUAUCUAACCAGAGUUAAUCCAGUGUUAAUGGGCUUAAUCCAUCUGAACAGCCAUUUUAUAAAUAUCUGCAGUGGGCAAAUGUUUAACCCCUUUGCUCACUAAAAUCAGUAGUCCAACGGAAUUGCCUAAGUCUGACAUCAAAACUGAGGCCUGAGCAACUGUGGGUGAAUACUUUCAGCCCUUGUGUGAAUAAUACAUUUUGCAGAACCCAUCUCUUCUGUUUAUAAAGACCAAAAUCAAACACAGGGCCGAAGCCUAUUCCAGUUUAUGAUACAUUAGGCACUAGGUGUAAGUUUCUGUAAACUGAAUUAUGGAAGAAGUGGACUGCAUAAGAUAUGACCCACAAGGCUGAUCAAUUUAUGGAUGAAGAGUGGUGCUCUUGUGGCACGCUGUGAUUUUGUUGUGUUUGAUUUGGUGAAGGUUUACUCUUUCUUUUUUGUCUCAAUCAAAUCUUGGAUUGGGUUCAGCAUGGCUUUUGCAGGCGGAUCAAAAGAGUAGGCUUUAGCCUUCGCCAUCUAUCUGAGAGGCAGUUCUGUAGUUGGUGGAUUGACUGUAACGCCAAGCGGAACCAAGUUGACAAAAAGAAACAUUCACGUCGGCAUUAAAGCAAAUAGUGGACAGGGAAGCAGCAGCUUUGGAAAACUGCCCUUCUGAAAAGCCCUUGCUGAUGCUCACUCCCUUUGCUGUCUUUUUGCUAGUCUUAGGAGAAAGAAAAAGUUCUAGCAUUACUUUGGCUGCUGUGUGCAGAGUUAAUAUUCAUUGGCUUUGACUGCUUUUGUGGGUUGUUGUUUUACUUUGCGGAAAUGACAAAGCUCUCUGCUAACCUGCCUAUUGAUAUACCCUUGUUGCCUCUUUUCACAACACCACAGAGGGAAAUUUUUGGAAGAACCCCCUUUACCCACUAAAAUCAUCCAAACAUGAUUUUAUUUUAUUUUUAAUUUUUUUAAAUCAAGUUUCAAUACUUGGUCAUUAAGAGUGCUUCUUCCACAGCACAAAUUUGUGAUCUCUCUGGAUAACAAAAGUUUGACAUAAUAUAUUGAAGGUAUUUUUUUCCUCUCUCUCUCUCUCUUUUAAAUGUCUUUCCCCUAAUUUCAUUUUAUCUGCUGUUUACCAUGCCAGUCUGACAUGAUAUGAUUUGUGCGUUGCAGGGUCACAACAAGCUACUUGCAGGACAAUUUGCUGCAUCAAGAGGGUGAUUGUGUCUGGUGCCAGUCAGUCGCAAUUAGGCCCAGGAUCAGGGAGGCCCAGAGCUUGUGUAUCGUCUUGGGCAAGCUUCAUAGAAAUCAGCUCACCUGAAACUAAUUGUCACAACAGAGACCUUAUGCAAAUGAGCCCUAGGGUUAGCGUGGGAAAAGAAAAACUGUCGCAAGGAUAGGUGACCUGCUGAGCGGGGGGUCUGUUGCUGGGGAAAUCUUUGUUCAAUGAGUUUAAAAAAAUGUUCUCAUUGUUCCAAAUCCAAGAAAACCUAGCAAAUACACUCGCUAAGAAAGCGUGGCGAGCACACUCAUCUGAAAGGGGCAGCCAGUUUUGGAGCAGCCUCUGAUAAAUUCUUCACAUAGCUAAGGCUGGGGAAGCAAAAUUGCUUUUCUCUGCAAAUAUUCUUUUGAAAGUUUUGAUUCGAGUCUGUAAUCGAUCAUAUCUUGAACAUAACCUGUUGGCAUCUGCUCUGCUGAGAGGCCCACAUUGCCCAUUAUUGAAAGAAAAAAAAUGAGAUAUAUCAGGAGAAGCUGUAUCUUUCCUGAUGAGAGGAGUCACUCAGAAUGUCUUGAAUAAGUUGCACAUGCGGUCAUUUUCAUCCCAGCUUUAGAGACAAUGGCUUACAUGGUGAAAGCCAGGCAAAAGGAACUCAGUCUGAUUUCUGGCAAAACUUCCUUUCUAUAGAAGUUGGAGCAGUUUGUUUCGCAGCCUCUCCUAUUGGAUGGGCCUGGUCGCAGGCAAGUAAAGAGUGAUUUAUGAAUCUAAGGCCAUGGUUGCUAACAUUUGAAUGUAAAAGCUGUCGUUUCUGAUGUGCACCUAUUUACCUCCUCUCCUGUUCUCUAACAGAUAAGAAGUAGGUUAGAACUAUACGACAGUUCGUUCUUGCCUUCAGACAAUUUUAUGGUGGUUCUGAAUACAUUCUUUUAUAAAAUCUGAUAUUCAGAACAUUGCCAGACUGCUUAGGUUUCUGUUUUUGCUGUCAAUGGUAUCAGAGCAUGUGUGACACACACACACAAAAAUACACAACCCUUCUGCAAUAAUCUGAAUUUAUUAUGCUAUUAUAAACAGUUCUUUAGCUUUGCACUCAAUAUUUUCCACAGGAUGCAAAACAAGUAUAUUCUUCAGCAAAAGUAUUGUGCAGGCUACAGAGACAAAAGUAGCUUAUUAGGAUCAUCACCCUCAAAAGAAUAGUCAUUUUCUUCAGCUCAUAAAUUGAUGGUUGCUUUCACUGUUGCUGCUGUGAAAGAGAGGGCGUUUGGGCAUGGACCAGUUCAGCAAGCAGUGAAGUUGACUCGCUAGUCCCCAGUAUCACAAAGCAAGGAUGCCUUAAAAUAGUGCCGCUUAAUCACUGACUUCUCUCUCUCUUUUCAUCUCUUUUGUCCCUUUUCCUCUGUCUGAAAUAAUUUCCACAAAUAGGAGACGUUUCACAGUGGGCACGAAGUGCUCAGCUUUCACUCAUCAAACUUUAAUCGGAACUGCAUUUUAGUUUUUGAAUAAAGAACACUUAAAAAAUUUAGAUGCAAAUUAUUUUGCAUUAUUCAUGCUCUAAGUGUCCUUGUAGAUUUAAACACUUCUGAGGCCACCUUGAUUCAAGUAAUUACCUAGGCCCUCUCUGCUCCGUCAUGAAUAAGGUAUUUUGUACAAGUAAAGUAUGCACCCGAUGAGCUUUUAAAGUGGCUUUACACUGAACUUGUGUAUUGCUUCUUGUGCAUGAGUGAUUCGAACAUGCGUCGCAAUCUGUCUCAGGUGGGAAAUCCUGGCAGGGCAUCCAUGAGUGACGGAAGGAAGCCUAAGAGUCUGAGCGCACACUCUUUCUUUGUCUUUCUCUUAAGAAUCUCAAAGUGAUUCUUUUUGCUCCGCAUCUCACGGAUUGGACUAUGAAAAUCUUAAAGGAGCAAGAGCUUUCUAAGGGGAAGGGAAGAGUGGGGGGGGGGGAGAGCGGCUUAACUCUUUAUUUCCCACAGCUGUGCCCAUUUUCCUCCAGCUCACACUCAGUCACUUAAGGCUUCACACACACACACACACACACACACACACACACACACACACGAUAAUGUAAGUCUUUCUACUUUUAUGUAGCAUUGUACAUCUGUCUACCCAUCUGUCUCUCAAGCCUCUCUCACACACCAGAACAAGGUACCACCUGAACAAUAUUUUUUCACACAAUGGCUCACUUCUGAACAGCUGAAAGCUGCUUUGAAGAGGGAAGAACUGUGGGAGAGGGAGAAAGCAGCAUGCAUUUAGGUCCCUUUUUUUGGUACGUAAACAUGUGCACGUCUCUAAGAAUUUGGGCUUUCAACAGUUAAGUGUAUUUUACUGAACUUUGCACUUCUGUAUUGGCUGCCUGUUCCUUCCCCGCCUCCAGCCCUCCAAAUUAUGUUGCUUUCAAGAAAUAGAGCCGUAAUUUCUAAUAUACCGCUGGAGCCUUAUUGGCAGUGAUUAAAGCUACGGAGUUAAUGUCGGUUUAUGGGUUAUGUUUGGAUUUUAUUUUUUGUUUGAAAAACACACACAAGGUUGUAGAAACCAAUAAAAAUAAACAUACUGGAGCAGGCUGAACUUGCUGGUCUUUUAGUUUUUUGCUUAACAGUUGAAGUUUAGAUUAAAACGAGCAUUGCCGCUUUUAGAAAACUAGUUGACACUCCCACUUGAUCAUCUUUACUACGCAGUGGAAUAAUUAAUAUUUAAACAUUCUAAUAAUGUGGAUUGCUAUACAUGCACUUUUCAGCCCACACCACUAUAUAUUUUAUUGGGGAACCAUGCCACUGUUUUGUUCAGGAAUACAAUUUUUAAAAAAGAAGAAGAAAGCAAACCAAAGUUUAUUUUCCUCAGCAGGAGAUGUUAGCUUUUGCAGUCAUGGCGAGGCAGACCGCAUUAGAACAAGACUAGUUCGGUUUAUGAUUAAAAUUAAGUUGCAUUAAUUGGCAGAAUAGAAUACUAUUUAGCAAUCAUUGGUUCAGACGGUGGGUUUGGCAUGCAUAUAUCCCUGCUAUCUGCUGCAUGGUAUGAUGAACUGUAAUUUCUUAAAGUAGAAUGAAAUCCACUAGGGAGUCAUAGAUCUGUAAAACAAUCCACUACUCUAACACAUAAGCACACACACACACUCACUUGGAGCAAGAGAUUGUUGAGGCAUGAUAUUUUUUACUUGCAGCCUUCCUAUAACUUUCUGAUCUACAAGAGCAGGCUGUAUUUCAAAAGCUUCCUCAAUAUUCCAGAAUUUUGCAGAUCUUUGGGCAAGAAAGUGUCUAUCUCUGGACAACUUUAUGCAUUUAAAACUGCCCCAUAAGAAGCUGGCUCAUUCUCUGCUAUGUGCAUCUCACAUGAUUGAGUCCCCUAUUUCUAGAGUAUAUUCUAGCAUACAGAAUAUGACACUGUAUUCUGGCAUACAUGCUAAUUGUCCCAUGUAGAAGUGCCAGUGAAACCUUUUGGCGUGCAGAAUUUAAAGACGUGCUUUUCAGAUCUCACUACAAUGAAAUACAUCUUAGUAACCCUAGAUUGACAGAGACCAUAUUACCCAAAUGGAAGAAAACCAUGGGCAUAGAACUAGAGCUCAGUUGUCUGUAUAGGAGAACUUCCUGUCGUAGGCUCAUGAACGAAGGUGCCAGGGCAAAGAUAUUUUACUGUUACCUCCACAUCUUCUUAUUGUCCCUAUCUGAAUACUAGUUAGUUCAUUUCGCAGCUAGCCUUAUGAGACAAAAACUGAGUUAUUAAUUUACAGAUCAAAGGAGGGCCAGCCCACAAAACCAACAUUUUCUGCACAUAGCAGCAGUUCAAGUGGUUAGAUGUAGGUACACAACUACUUGUGAUUAGUAGGUCCUUUACUUUCUUUUAAUGGGGAUACUGCAUUUCUGCACACACGUGGGGUCCCAAUCCAGUGAAAGUUAGCUGCAACUAAAUCUUGUUGAUAUCAGUGGGACAUGAAAAUUUAACAGUAUGCUUCUGUUCUGUUGGAUUUCAGUAGGGCUGAUUUGGGUUGGGUUGGUUCUUCCCUGGGUUGGUCCCUUAACAAGAGCAAACUAAAGGGGGGAAGCCUUCCCCAUAGGCCUUCCCAUUCAAGACUUUAACAAGGCAAAGAGCAAAGUUUUAACAUGCAGCUCUGCCCCUUUGGAAGGUUUGGUCCAUCUAUCCUUUUAAUCAUGAGACAAAUAUGACAACGUGAUGAUGGCCAUCAGGGUGGGGCUGGUGUGCAAGGGAGAGCUACGCACUCUUGGCAGGAAUGUGGGAUCACUGCAGACAGCACGGUAUUUACUGUAAUUUCUUCCAUAUCUCCUCUUCAACUCUGCAAAGCAUUUCAGUUUGCGUUGUUUUGUGGAAAGCUCUACAGUGCUGAAAACAAAGUUGCAUUGUGUCGGCAAAGACAUGUGGGAGCUGCUAUGCUGCCUGCAUGCUGUAUGCUCAUAGGGCAGCGAUGGGCGUGGGAGGUUUAAAGAAACAAAUGAACUGCAAGCAUGAAAUCCAUAAUAAAGGCAUUUAAAAUGGGUUGUAAUUUGGAGCUCCGCAAUACUGUAUGCAGGCACCCUCCACACACACACUAGAGAGAGAUUUGUGGCCUGAUUACUCGU